UCGAGCGGAGAGGGAGCUUGCUCCUGGAUUCAGCGGCGGACGGGUGAGUAAUGCCUAAGAAUCUGCCUGGUAGUGGGGGAUAACGUCCGGAAACGGGCGCUAAUACCGCAUACGUCCUGAGGGAGAAAGUGGGGGAUCUUCGGACCUCACGCUAUCAGAUGACCCUAGGUCGGAUUAUCUAGUUGGUGGGGUAAAGGCCUACCAAGGCGACGAUCCGUAACUGGUCUGAGAGGAUGAUCAGUCACACUGGAACUGAGACACGGUCCAGACUCCUACGGGAGGCAGCAGUGGGGAAUAUUGGACAAUGGGCGAAAGCCUGAUCCAGCCAUGCCGCGUGUGUGAAGAAGGUCUUCGGAUUGUAAAGCACUUUAAGUUGGGAGGAAGGGCAGUAAGUUAAUACCUUGCUGUUUUGACGUUACCAACAAAAUAAGCACCGGCUAACUUCGUGCCAGCAGCCGCGGUAAUACGAAGGGUGCAAGCGUUAAUCAGAAUUACUGGGCGUAAAGCGCGCGUAGGUGGUUCAGCAAGUUGGAUGUGAAAUCCCCGGGCUCAACCUGGGAACUGCAUCCAAAACUACUGAGCUAGAGUACGGUAGAGGGUGGUGGAAUUUCCUGUGUAGCGGUGAAAUGCGUAUAUAUAGGAAGGAACACCAGUGGCGAACGCGACCACCUGGACUGAUACUGACACUGAGGUGCGAAAGCGUGGGGAGCAAACAAGAUUAUAUACCCUGGUACUCCACGCCAUAAACGAUGUCGACUAGCCGUUGGGAUCCUUGAGAUCUUAGUGGCGCAGCUAACGCGAUAAGUCGACCGCCUGGGGAGUACGGCCGCAAGGUUAAAACUCAAAUGAAUUGACGGGGGCCCCGCACAAGCGGUGGAGCAUGUGGUUUUAAUUUCGAAAGCAACGCGAAGAAUCCUUACCUGGUCCUUUGACAUGCUGAGAACUUUUCCCAGAGAUGGUAGUGG
rnacentral:rRNA from 1 species